rnacentral:rRNA from 1 species
GAUGAACGCUGGCGGCGUGCCUAAUACAUGCAAGUAGAACGCUGAAGCUUGGUGCUUGCACCGAGCGGAUGAGUUGCGAACGGGUGAGUAACGCGUAGGUAACCUGCCUCUUAGCGGGGGAUAACUAUUGGAAACGAUAGCUAAUACCGCAUAAAAGUCGACAUCGCAUGAUGUUGACUUGAAAGGUGCAAUUGCAUCACUAAGAGAUGGACCUGCGUUGUAUUAGCUAGUUGGUGAGGUAACGGCUCACCAAGGCGACGAUACAUAGCCGACCUGAGAGGGUGAUCGGCCACACUGGGACUGAGACACGGCCCAGACUCCUACGGGAGGCAGCAGUAGGGAAUCUUCGGCAAUGGGGGCAACCCUGACCGAGCAACGCCGCGUGAGUGAAGAAGGUUUUCGGAUCGUAAAGCUCUGUUGUAAGAGAAGAACGAGUGUGAGAGUGGAAAGUUCACACUGUGACGGUAACUUACCAGAAAGGGACGGCUAACUACGUGCCAGCAGCCGCGGUAAUACGUAGGUCCCGAGCGUUAUCCGGAUUUAUUGGGCGUAAAGCGAGCGCAGGCGGUUAGAUAAGUCUGAAGUUAAAGGCUGUGGCUUAACCAUAGUACGCUUUGGAAACUGUUUAACUUGAGUGCAGAAGGGGAGAGUGGAAUUCCAUGUGUAGCGGUGAAAUGCGUAGAUAUAUGGAGGAACACCGGUGGCGAAAGCGGCUCUCUGGUCUGUAACUGACGCUGAGGCUCGAAAGCGUGGGGAGCAAGCAGG